rnacentral:rRNA from 1 species
AACGGUACUUCGGUACUUAUUAAAGUGGCGCACGGGUGAGUAACGCGUGGGAACAUACCUAGUAGUAUGGAAAAACAGUUGGAAACGACUGCUAAUACCAUAUACGCCCUCCGGGGGAAAGAUUUAUCGCUAUUAGAUUGGCCCGCGUGGCAUUAGCUUGUUGGUGAGGUAACGGCUCACCAAGGCUACGAUGCCUAGCUGGUUUGAGAGGAUGAUC